ACCUUAUCAAGAGCGGCGGAGGGAAAGGCCCUGUGAAGCCCGGCAACCUGCACAUGAGCAAGGUGCCAAAUCCUGCGGACAAAAACGUGCAGAUGAGGA
rnacentral:ncRNA from 1 species